CUCUCUCUUUCUUUGACCUAAUUGGGCAUAAUGCCAAUGCUUCUGAGUACUUAGCUGCAGCCCCGGAAAUAUCUCCGGAUGAAAACAGGGAAUUUCCUUCUAGUUUUACCACCAGUGCUGCUGCCUGUUUGAUAUGAAGGUCCUCUUUAGGCAUAUUUUUCUCCCAUUUUAUUCUCUAAUAUUUCCGGAUGAAAACAGGGAAUUUCCUUCUAGUUUUACCACCAGUGCUGCUGCCUGUUUGAUAUGAAGGUCCUCUUUAGGCAUAUUUUUCUCCCAUUUUAUUCUCUGUUUGGAAUUCAGUAGUUCUUCAACUUCUUCUUUUACAUGGCUAUUGAUUUGAGUACGACCUGUCCCUUGUGAUUCAAUACAUUCCUGAAGAACAUUGACUAUAGA
rnacentral:lncRNA from 1 species